rnacentral:rRNA from 2 species
AACUUAAGCAUAUCAAUAAGCCGGAGGA